rnacentral:rRNA from 1 species
GCCCAUGGGGGUGGGAUUGUGCUCCACUACUAUGCAAGUCGACGGUAGCACAGAGAGCUUGCUCUCGGGUGACGAGCGGCGGAUGGGUGAGUAAUGUCUGGGAAACUGCCUGAUGGAGGGGGAUAACUACUGGAAACGGUAGCUAAUACCGCAUAACGUCGCAAGACCAAAGAGGGGGACCUUCGGGCCUCUUGCCAUCAGAUGUGCCCAGAUGGGAUUAGCUAGUAGGUGGGGUAACGGCUCACCUAGGCGACGAUCCCUAGCUGGUCUGAGAGGAUGACCAGCCACACUGGAACUGAGACACGGUCCAGACUCCUACGGGAGGCAGCAGUGGGGAAUAUUGCACAAUGGGCGCAAGCCUGAUGCAGCCAUGCCGCGUGUAUGAAGAAGGCCUUCGGGUUGUAAAGUACUUUCAGCGGGGAGAAAGGCGAUAAGGUUAAUAACCUUGUCGAUUGACGUUACCCGCAGAAGAAGCACCGGCUAACUCCGUGCCAGCAGCCGCGGUAAUACGGAGGGUGCAAGCGUUAAUCGGAAUUACUGGGCGUAAAGCGCACGCAGGCGGUCUGUCAAGUCGGAUGUGAUAUCCCCCGGGCUCAACCUGGAACUGCAUUCGGAAACUGGCAGGGCUAGAGUCUUGUAGAGGGGGGGUAGUAUUCCAGGUGUAGCGGUGAAAUGCGUAGAGAUCUGGAGAAUACCGGUGGCGAAAGGCGGCCCCCUGGACAAAGACUGACGCUCAGGUGCGAAAGCGUGGGGAGCAAACAGGAUUAGAUACCCUGGUAGUCCACGCAUAAACGAUGUCGACUUGAAGUUGUGCCCUUGAAGCAGCUUCCGGACUACGCGUAAGUCGACCGCUGGGAGUACGGCCGCAGUUAAAACUCAAUGAUGACGGGGGCCCGCAGAGCGUGGAACCUGUGUUUAAUCGAUGCACGCGAAGAACUUACUUACCUGACAUCAGAGACUAAGCAGAGGUGCUUGGUGCCUCGGAACUCUGAGAACGUGCUGCAUGCCUGCGCCACGCUCGGG